UCUUCUCGGUUGCUUUUAUUAAAUCUCUAUGCCAGAGUAGCAUCAAACCAAACAAUUUCACGAGACUUUCAAAAUGAACAACAAAGCACUUAAUCUUAAUGCCUAUAAUCAACUGAAGCAACCUUUGACGGCGUUAGCCAAAACAAAAACUUUCGUGUGGGUCCAUAGCAAGGUCAGAAGACAAAUUAAGCACGUCCACUUAUGGAAUUUAGACCAGGCUGUCACAAUUCGGAAACCCAUUACAACAGCUCAAACCUAAUAUGACUUCGGAAUUCGAAAUCAUACAAAGAGUUGGUUCAAAACAAAAACAAACGACGGUGUUGCAUCAAGGUUGGAAAUGGGCCUUAACUUGAGCUGAUGCCACAAGCAUAGAACUAAAGUAAAUGAAGUAUUGAUGCACGAAUAAAUGCCCAUCUUCAAGAGUUUACAAAAGGGCAGAAUCAUCACCCUCUAUCCACAGAGGAAAACAUGUCUCCAAUUCAGUUAUGGUUGUGGGUCUUUAAAGAUUUUCAUUCUCUGCAGAGCAAGCACAACUAUUGGUGGACAAUAUUCAUUAUGGCAUUGAUUGGAAUCACCCCCGACCUGAUUUUCAAUGGGAUGGAAACAGUGUACUCCUGGAUGACAAUGCCCGUGGAAGUUUCUGAUAUAGAACUACCUAGUAUCAUGAUGGCAGAAAAUGAUCUAUGUGUAUGCCUCGAACAGAAUGGCCCUGUGGCUGAGAGUCAAUGUCUGGGAUUUGAUAUCUACCUUAAUCUUGUGUUACAUUUGAAGGCAUUAGUUAAUGUAUACAUGUAGAAACACUUGAGUUCUAUGUCAAUGUGAUUUUUCUGUAUUACCAAAAUGGUACUGAUAUAAGGACUAAGUACUUUUGGUUAUUGUGAUGCUAAUUAAAAAUACAAAAAAAUGUAUCACAAAUGAAGACAAACCAUCAUCUUUUUCACAUAUUUUUCUCCACAACACAAAGGAAUACUUUGGGAAAAUUUGUACAAUGUUUUGUAGUUGAAAAACCAAAUCUAAAACAUGCCAUUUACUGAUUCUGUCCUUAAAGUACAUCUAUACAUGUAUAACAUUGAUGACUGUGCAUGCAAAUUCAAACAUUGUGGUUUUAAAAGCAACAUUUUAAUAGUCCUACAGAAAGGAACUGCUAAUCACUGCAUAACACAUCACUAAAUUAAGAGUACUUGUAAGUAUAAUACUGAAAUCCCUAUUGUAAUUUUUAGUAAGAUUACUAAGAAGACUUAACUGUUGUGAAAAACAUCAACUUUCUUAUUCAUAAUUAACUUUCCCUGACUGCACUGAUAACCACAACUAAGCAAAAUUGUUUGAGGCUGGUUUUCACUUACAUCAGAGUCAUAAGCUGAGUCAAUGUCACA